ACGGGAGGCAGCAGUGGGGAAUAUUGGGCAUUGGGCGAAAGCCUGACCCAGCAACGCCGCGUGAAGGAAGAAGGUCUUCGGAUUGUAAACUUCUUUUAUGAGGGACGAAGGAAGUGACGGUACCUCAUGAAUAAGCCACGGUUAACUACGUGCCAGCAGCCGCGUUAAUACGUAGGUGGCAAGCGUUAUCCGGAUUUACUGGGUGUAAAGGGCGCGUAGGCGGGGAUGCAAGUCAGAUGUGAAAUCUAUGGGCUUAACUCAUAAACUGCAUUUGAAACUGUAUCUCUUGAGUGCUGGAGAGGUAGAUGGAAUUCCUUGUGUAGCGGUGAAAUGCGUAGAUAUAAGGAAGAACACCAGUGGCGAAGGCGAUCUACUGGACAGUAACUGACGCUGAGGCGCGAAAGCGUGGGGAGCAAACAGGAUUAGAUACCCUGGUA
rnacentral:rRNA from 1 species